rnacentral:rRNA from 1 species
UACGAAGGGGGCUAGCGUUGCUCGGAAUCACUGGGCGUAAAGGGUGCGUAGGCGGGUCUUUAAGUCAGGGGUGAAAUCCUGGAGCUCAACUCCAGAACUGCCUUUGAUACUGAAGAUCUUGAGUCCGGGAGAGGUGAGUGGAACUGCGAGUGUAGAGGUGAAAUUCGUAGAUAUUCGCAAGAACACCCGUGGCGAAGGCGGCCAUCUGGACCAGUACUGACGCUGAGGCACGAAAGCGUGGGGAGCAAACAGG